ensembl:lncRNA
ACAGCCAAGCUUCCCCGAUGAUCUAGUCCUGGCCGAGGUACAACACCCAGCCAAGCUUCCACUAUGAUCUAGUCCUGGCUGAGGUACAACACACAGCCAAGCUUCCCCUGUGAUCUAGUCCUGGCCGAGGUACAACACACAGCCAAGCUUCCCCUAUGAUCUAGUCCUGGCCGAGGUACAACACACAGCCAAGCUUCCCCUGUGAUCGAGUCCUGGCCGAGGUACAACACACAACCAAGCUUCCCCUAUGAUCUAGUCCUGGCUGAGGUACAACACACAGCCAAGCUUCCCCUGUGAUCUAGUCCUGGCUGAGCCGUGACAUAUGACACAUUCCCAACACAUGUGGUGACAUCCUGAGGUUGAAACAGAGCUCUGUGGAUGAUUCAGAAGGCAAAUCAUCCCUUUCUUCCUCCGAAAGGGAUGAAUCCGUCAGAAGCUGGCUGUAAAUAAAACAGGAGAACAUCUGCACCUCAGACCUCUGUCAGAUUAUACACCAUCUCCGACCUCUGUUAGAUUGUACACCAUCUCAGACCUCUGUUAGAUUACACACCAUCUCAGACCUCUGUUAGAUUAUACACCAUCUCAGACCUCUGUUAGAUUACACACCAUCUCAGACCUCUGUUAGAUUAUACACCAUCUCAGACCUCUGUUAGAUUAUACACCAUCUCAGACCUCUGUUAGAUUAUACACCAUCUCAGACCUCUGUUAGAUUAUACACCAUCUCAGACGUCUGUUAGAUUAUACACCAACUCAGACCUCUGUUAGAUUAUACACCAUCUCAGACCUCUUUUAGAUUAUACACCAACUCAGACCUCUAUUAGAUUAUACACCAACUCAGACCUCUGUUAGAUUACACACCAUCUCAGACCUCUGUUAGAUUAUAUACCAACUCCGACUCAUACACCAACUCAGACCUCUGUUAUAUUAUACACCAUCUCAGACCUCUGUUAGAUUAUACACCAUCUCAGACCUCUGUUAGAUUAUAUACCAACUCCGACUCAUACACCAACUCAGACCUCUGUUAGAUUAUACACCAUCUCAGACCUCUGUUAGAUUAUACACCAUCUCAGACCUCUGUUAGAUUAUACACCAUCUCAGACCUCUGUUAGACUGUACACACCAUCUCAGACCUCUGUUAGAUUAUACACCAUCUCAGACCUCUGUUAGACUGUACACACCAUCUCAGACCUCUGUUAGAUUAUACACCAUCUCAGACCUCUGUUAGAUUAUACAUCAACUCAGACCUCUGUUAGAUUAUUAUGCACCAACUCAGACCUCUGUUAGAUUAUACACCAACUCAGACCUCUGUUAGAUUAUACACCAUCUCAGACCUCUGUUAGAUUAUACACCAUCUCAGACCUCUGUUAGAUUAUACACCAUCUCAGACCUCUGUUAGAUUAUUAUGCACCAACUCAGACCUCUGUUAGAUUAUACACCAACUCAGACCUCUGUUAGAUUAUACACCAUCUCAGACCUCUGUUAGAUUAUACACCAUCUCAGACCUCUGUUAGAUUAUACACCAUCUCAGACCUCUGUUAGAUUAUACACCAACUCAGACCUGUGUUAGAUUAUUAAACACCAACUCAUAUUGUACAUACCAGUCGUAUAUAUUUGUGUCCCAAAUGGCACCCUAUUCCCUAUUUAGUGACCAGGGCCCAUAGGGGAUCUGGACAAAGGUAGUGCACUACAUAGGGAAUAGAAUGCUCUUAGGGUUGCAUGCUAUAUUCCUUUAGGGCUGAGUGGGGUGAAAACACAUGGGGUUUGUUGGAAUAACUCAAUAUUGGGUGUAAGGUAUCGGUUAUUAACACACACACACACACACACACACACACACACACACACACACACACACACAUUGACAUUCCUCCCAGCCAUAACAUCCCAGCCCGUAGUUUCCUAGGCGCUGCCUGUCCUCUCUGC